rnacentral:rRNA from 1 species
CGCGUAGGUGGUAGUGAAAGUCUAUGGUGGAAUCUUAGGGCUUAACCCUAAAACUGCCUUGGAAACUUCAUUACUUGAGUCAGUGAGGGGAGGGUAGAAUUCCUGGUGUAGCGGUGAAAUGCGUAGAUAUCAGGAGGAAGGCCGGUGGCGAAGGCGGCCCUCUGGCGCUGAACCGACGCUGAGGCGCGAAAGCGUGGGUAGCAAACAGGAUUAGAUACCCUGGUAGUCCACGCCCUAAACGGUGGAUACUAGGUGUAGGGCUCGUAAGGGUUCUGUGCCGAAGGGAAACCAUUAAGUACCCCGCCUGGGGAGUACGGCCGCAAGGUUGAA